CGGGUGCGUAACGCGUAUGCAACCUACCUUUAACAGGGGGAUAACACUGAGAAAUUGGUACUAAUACCCCAUAAUAUCACAGAAGGCAUCUUUUAUGGUUGAAAAUUCCGAUGGUUAGAGAUGGGCAUGCGUUGUAUUAGCUAGUUGGUGGGGUAACGGCUCACCAAGGCGACGAUACAUAGGGGGACUGAGAGGUUAACCCCCCGCACUGGUACUGAGACACGGACCAGACUCCUACGGGAGGCAGCAGUGAGGAAUAUUGGUCAAUGGACGCAAGUCUGAACCAGCCAUGCCGCGUGCAGGAUGACGGCUCUAUGAGUUGUAAACUGCUUUUGUACGAGGGUAAACGCAGAUACGUGUAUCUGUCUGAAAGUAUCGUACGAAUAAGGAUCGGCUAACUCCGUGCCAGCAGCCGCGGUAAUACGGAGGAUUCAAGCGUUAUCCGGAUUUAUUGGGUUUAAAGGGUGCGUAGGCGGUUUGAUAAGUUAGAGGUGAAAUUUCGGGGCUCAACCCUGACGUGCCUUAAUACUGUUGAGCUAGAGAGUAGUUGCGGUAGUCGGAAUGUAUGGUGUAGCGGUGAAUGCUUAGAGAUCAUACA
rnacentral:rRNA from 1 species